rnacentral:rRNA from 1 species
AGAAUCAACGCUGGCGGCGUGCCUAACACAUGCAAGUCGAACGAGAAAGUGGAGCGAUCCAUGAGUAAAGUGGCGACCGGGUGAGUAACACGUGACUAACCUACCUCCGAGUGGGGAAUAACUCCGGGAAACCGGGGCUAAUACCGCAUAACAUCGCAAGAUCAAAGCAGCAAUUCGCUUAAGGAGGGGGUCGCGGCCGAUUAGUUAGUUGGCGGGGUAAUGGCCCACCAAGACUAUGAUCGGUA